GCAAUAGCUCAGUCGGUAGAGCACGAGGCUCACAAUCUCAGGGUUCUGGGUUCGAGUACUGCUUUGGGCA